GUCAAGUGUAGUUGCAGCGGAGGAUGCACGUAGUCGCCUGCACAGUAACUUCUUUAACCAGUUGUGAUGGUCCCCUGUAGAGCCGAACAGAUCAAGUGCAAGGGAGGAGAAAAGAAGAGGAUGUUAGAUUUUGGGGUUUUCUUCCAAAGGGAAGCUCAAGGCUCGUUUUCAUACUGUUCAAGAAAAGCUUGCUAGGAAUUUAAAGCCUAGCCCCUUAGGUUUUCCCCAACCCUAGCUGCGGUUACUUGGAAGAUAUCUUAGGAGAUAUUUUAGGAGCACUUAUAGUAACUGCUUUGUAGUUACUAGAUAUUCGGAUAGGGCUCAAUGGCCACUAUCCAACAUCUUCCACUUGGCCAUGAGACCCCAGUUUUCUUCAUUUUCACUUUCAUUCUCUCUUUCCUCCUUGCGAAACCCUAGCAGAAGGUUUCACCUCCCACGCCACCAUCGCUGCCUCUUCCCAUCUUCUACCACCGUGACAGAAAGAAGGUAUCCUCCUCUAUUCUACCACGCGGAGGGUUGCAGGAAGCAGAGUUUACCAGCAGAGAGCAUAUGAGGCCCUCGAGCUGACUUGCCUUCCCCAAAACCAGAAGCAAAUAAACGACAGGAUGGGCCGGCAUUUUCAUAUGGAUGUCAAAUGCCGUCUUCCUCCUUCACCCAAGUCGCCUCCCAUUUUUCUUUUCAGCAAGAGAUGAUCUUUGCUCCUCGCACUUGGAAGACGACUGGUUUUCAAUCGAUUGUACGGCUCAACGGUAGAGAUGGACGGGUCGAGUUAAAAAAAAGAACAGAGGUUUCACCUACUGUUUGAAGAAGUUGUUGCAAUUGCAAUUCGGGUCUUUGUGUUGCUGUCCCUACACAAACCAUAAUAUAUUUUGCUGGCAUUGUUGCUGAUUUGAAAGCAUACAAUAUCAACUAUUGAUGUUGCAGAAAUAUUUGCUACAACUGUGCACUGUGAAAAACAGUUUUUUCUUCGACUUACCGAUAAAAAUUCUGCAAGAAUUUCUCUAAUCUUCCUGCAACAGCUAAUUGAAGAACUUUUCUACCUGCUACCAUCAACCAUUUGAAUGCUACUUCUUCAUCUUUAGCAGUCAAUUAAUUGACAUACUUCAACAUGAUUUCUGGA